UACGAAGGGGGCUAGCGUUGUUCGGAUUUACUGGGCGUAAAGGGCGCGUAGGCGGCGUGGUAAGUCAGCUGUGAAAUCUCCGAGCUUAACUCGGAACGGUCAGCUGAUACUGCUGUGCUAGAGUACAGAAGGGGCAAUCGGAAUUCUCGGUGUAGCGGUGAAAUGCGUAGAUAUCAAGAGGAACACCUGAGGCGAAGGCGGGUUGCUAGGCUGAUACUGACGCUGAGGCGCGAAAGCCAGGGGAGCAAACGGG
rnacentral:rRNA from 1 species